rnacentral:rRNA from 1 species
AUUGAACGCUGGCGGCAGGCCUAACACAUGCAAGUCGAGCGGAUGAAGGGAGCUUGCUCCUGGAUUCAGCGGCGGACGGGUGAGUAAUGCCUAGGAAUCUGCCUGGUAGUGGGGGAUAACGUCCGGAAACGGGCGCUAAUACCGCAUACGUCCUGAGGGAGAAAGUGGGGGAUCUUCGGACCUCACGCUAUCAGAUGAGCCUAGGUCGGAUUAGCUAGUUGGUGGGGUAAAGGCCUACCAGGGCGACGAUCCGUAACUGGUCUGAGAGGAUGAUCAGUCACACUGGAACUGAGACACGGUCCAGACCCCUACGGGAGGCAGCAGUGGGGAAUAUUGGACAAUGGGCGAAAGCCUGAUCCAGCCAUGCCGCGUGUGUGAAGAAGGUCUUCGGAUUGUAAAGCACUUUAAGUUGGGAGGAAGGGCAGUAAGUUAAUACCUUGCUGUUUUGACGUUACCAACAGAAUAAGCACCGGCUAACUUCGUG